rnacentral:tRNA from 1 species
UGAAAGCUAGUGUAUUUUGCACGUGUAAAUUUGAAUUACAAAGAAGAAAUAACCAUCUGUUUUCAU